rnacentral:rRNA from 1 species
UACAGAGGGGGCAAGCGUUAUUCGGAAUUAUUGGGCGUAAAGGGCGCGUAGGCGGCCUUGCAAGUGACGGGUGAAAUCCCUCGGCUUAACCGAGGAACUGCCUGUCAGACUGCAUGGCUUGAGACCGGGAGAGGGAAGCGGAAUUCCCGGUGUAGUGGUGAAAUGCGUAGAUAUCGGGAGGAACACCAGUGGCGAAGGCGGCUUCCUGGCCUGCUCUUGACGCUGAGGCGCGAAAGCUAGGGUAGCAAACGGG